rnacentral:rRNA from 1 species
UACGAAGGGGGCUAGCGUUGCUCGGAAUCACUGGGCGUAAAGCGCACGUAGGCGGCUUUUUAAGUCAGAGGUGAAAUCCUGGAGCUCAACUCCAGAACUGCCUUUGAUACUGGAGAGCUUGAGUCCGGGAGAGGUGAGUGGAACUGCGAGUGUAGAGGUGAAAUUUGUAGAUAUUGGGAAGAACACCGGUGGCGAAGGCGGCUCACUGGCUCAUUACUGACGCUCAGGCGCGAUAGCGUGGGGAUCAAACAGG